AGUUUACAAGUCAUUGAGAAUGCCUCAAGAUGCUAUUUUGUGCUAUCAGCAUGCUAUACAGGCACACCCAACUUACGCGAUGGCAUAUGUGGAAAAUUUAUAGACUGUUUCUUGGAGACCAGACAGGAUAAGUAGAUUGG